GUUUCCGUAGGUGAACCUGCGGAAGGACCAUUAAAGAACGCCCCGUUUUUUGAAAUGGGUAAUUCUAAACCGUGUAUACAUACCUUUGUUGCUUUGGCAGGCCGCCCCUCAGGGCGUCGGCUCCGGCUGACUGCGCCUGCCAGAGGACCCAAACUCUUUUGUUUAGUGAUGUCUGAGUACUAUAUAAUAGUUAAACCUUUCAACAACGGAUCUCUUGGUUCUG
rnacentral:misc_RNA from 1 species